rnacentral:antisense_RNA from 1 species
GAGGUGGGCAAGUUAGUUGCUCCAAAUACAAGAUAAAGUGAUUGAGUUCUUUUCUCAAGCGGGAGUCGGAGUUUAUCCACUCUUAGAGCCCCAGCAGCUACUAUUAAUGAGUGUCUGGAAUAUGUUCCUGGCAUUUCACCUACACUCUCUCCAAUCCUUCCAAGAAACUCACAAAGCAGGGCUUUUUCUUGAACUUCUCUUCCUCACAACAGUUAAAUCAUCCAUUUAAAGAUGUCAGACAAGCUCUGUGUUCUAAGAACUGUUUACUGAGCUCUAUGGAGACAUAGCUACAAGCACCACAUGCUGGACCCCUGAAUAUGGAGGGCCAACUACACUAGAAACACACAUGCUAGCUGGGAAAGAUGCUGGCUUAAGGGGAAAAAGAAAGAAAGGGGAGUAGAAAUAGAAGAAAAGAAAUGAGAAGGAGAAAACAAAGGAGCAGGAAAAUGAGAAAAGAAAAAUGUAGGAAAAAGUUGUAAAGAUCACCAGUUUGUAGUAGAGGCCCACUCUAGGAAGGUUUGGUAAAAAGCUGUUUUGAAUCAUAAUGUUGGCUUUAUUGGCAUGUUGAAACCAUUUACCUCUGUAAUUUUCCAUUUGUUUUCCUUUCCAACUACCACUCCUCCUGCCUGAUAAAUAAAUACCAUUGCAAGA